GAUUCAGGCCCUCAACUCUCUGGAUCACUAGAUUACAAUGUAGUACAUAGUUUGUAUAACAAAGGAUUUAUUUAUCUGGAUGUACCAAUAUCUGAUGACAGUUGUAUAGCAGUUCCACCUCUUGAAGGUUUUGUAAUGAAUCGAGUGCAAGGUGAUUAUUUUGAAACUCUACUCUAUAAGAUAUUUGUUUCAAUAGAUGAGCACACAAAUGUUGCAGAGGUAAGUUUGACAACGUCUCAUGAAAAUAUAAUCUCAAGAUUGCAAGUUUGUGUAAAGUAAGUAAAGUUAUUUAAUAUGGUAGUAUCUUUUUAAAAUCUCCAUGUGGGGAGAUCAUACCAUUAUUACACUUAAAUGUCAUUAUUCUUAACAUUCUUAUAAAUGUAUAUUAAAAUUUAAGUUAAUAAUUUAUAGUUUAGUUAACUUUUUAUAUGACUUUUU
rnacentral:sRNA from 1 species